UUCUGCGCGGCGAGUGAGGUGAGACGCCAAAACUCACUUCACUGUCACAUGACUUUUGUCACCCUAUUCUACGAGUCGAGUCGGGUGACGUGAGAGGUUCAUUUCAGAGUGAGUGACAAAAUGAACCACAAGUGACACGGAGUUCAUUUCGCGAAAUGUCAAAUCAACGUUAGCCAUAUUUUUUAUUACAUUUUGCUGCUGCUGUGUAAAAACUUUUUAAAAAAACAUAUUCUGUACUUAAUAGGAUAACUCUUGUGCGGUCUGCUUGUGCAGCUGCCUAUUCUCCCGUGGUAGAGGAGAAUUAUAAACACUUACAGCACACAACUGAUAUAGCCAUCUUAAACCGGAAAUGUAAUCUAUACCUAAUAAGAGAUCCACUACAAGGAUGCCCGAUGUUCACGUUAGUGGCAAUAUGACCGCAAAUCAAGGUGACAAGUGGGACGAGCAAGGCAAACGCGAAACACCUGACAAAUUACCGUCCAGUGAGCAGGUGCUAAAUUUAUGUUACUGAAAUGCUCCACUGAACAGUUCGAAUCCGAGCCUACCAGUGAGAUUUACGUAGGAAUUACGUGUCGCAAGCCAGGUGGAAUUACCGUGCAACAACUUGUGUUUGUUGCUAACUCCCUCGUGGAGAAGUUCGUCUUCCCAUUACUACCAACGAGGAUCGGUGCCAUGGAGCUUUCGUGGUACGAAUAUUAUUGAAUGUUCUGGACCCAUCACCAAACACCUUUAUACAUUUAUCGGCUGGUGUUAAUGCCGGGAGUCGUCAGUGAGUUUAAAUACACGAAAUCAUCAACCAGAUCGAUAUCGCCGUGGAGUUAAAUGAAUGAACGAGGAAGAUGCGCAUGUGGUAAAAAUUGAAAAGUGGUGGCUCAAUAUCGAUCUGUUAUACAUUGUCAUGAUCAGAAACAACCGGAUUGUUCAGUCACGAUGAUAAUGCGUAAUCCACCAGAAAGCAGAUUACUGAUAUUUAUCACUGCAAUCUCAACAACCUUUAUGCAUUAAGUAUUCACCUACGCCGGUAGGUUAUAUGUAUCAGUAUUCGUAGUACUUUAUUGACAAAGUUGUUGUCGAAAGUAUGGUUUUUCACGAGCGUCAUAAAGGGCUAUCCUUCCAUGUAACUCGGAUUCAUUUCAUUUA